UGAACGCUGGCGGCGUGCCUAAUACAUGCAAGUCGAGCGAACAGACGAGGAGCUUGCUCCUCUGACGUUAGCGGCGGACGGGUGAGUAACACGUGGAUAACCUACCUAUAAGACUGGGAUAACUUCGGGAAACCGGAGCUAAUACCGGAUAAUAUAUUGAACCGCAUGGUUCAAUAGUGAAAGACGGUUUUGCUGUCACUUAUAGAUGGAUCCGCGCCGCAUUAGCUAGUUGGUAAGGUAACGGCUUACCAAGGCAACGAUGCGUAGCCGACCUGGGAGGGUGAUCGGCCACACUGGAACUGAGACACGGUCCAGACUCCUACGGGAGGCAGCAGUAGGGAAUCUUCCGCAAUGGGCGAAAGCCUGACGGAGCAACGCCGCGUGAGUGAUGAAGGUCUUCGGAUCGUAAAACUCUGUUAUUAGGGAAGAACAAAUGUGUAAGUAACUAUGCACGUCUUGACGGUACCUAAUCAGAAAGCCACGGCUAACUACGUG
rnacentral:rRNA from 1 species